rnacentral:sRNA from 1 species
UAUGCUUUUCUGUACAAUGGUAAGUUAUAGCAUUUGGGUUUGGAAUUUUCAGUAGAUGUUUGUUUGUCCCUGGAUUGGUUUUUUUUCCUUCUGUUUAGUGAACAGAAACAGAUUCCAUGCCCUCAGGGUAUGGUAGCACCAGCCACUAUUAAAAAGCCCAAAGGACAGCAUCUGAAGCUUUGACAAUGUACUCUAGGGCUGGGGGGAAUUCAAAGGCCAAAGAUGUUCAGCACCAGGGAAGCUGGAAGGAGCCAGCAGGGUGGAACUACGGUGAUGGGGAAGUGCCUGGGGAGGGAAAGCUUGGUGUAUACGGCAUUCUACUAACAGUCUUUCCACCCUUCCCCCUUUUUCCAGGUUUGGACAGCGCCAAUAGGUAUGUCUAGGCUUUGUGACUUUUAUGUUUUCCCUCUUGAAAUGCCCUGCAAGGAAAGAAGGGAUGUUAUCGAGAAAUGCCCUGAAUUUCUGAAUCAUCUUAUGGGGCAGAAGAAUUGGCCGUUUGGAGGGUGUUGUUUUAUUUUGGGUGUUUUGUCUUGUUCUCCUAUUAUAAUAUGACACACGGGUUCUAUCUCAGGUUGCUGUCAAUAUUGAGACUGGAAAACUCAGUGUCGCCACCUUUCUCAGUAUCUACACAGUCUCUUCUCUGGUUAGCAUCCUGAGGAAGAACACUGCUCUAAGAAGGCUGCCUUCCUCAUUCCAGGGCAGAGUCUGUUCACUCAUCCAGCCCAGACCCAGCAGGAGCCUCUUUCCUGUGUGUGAGGCUCAGCGCUAGACGCUGGAUGUGCAGGGGUGGGCGUAGAGGAGGGCUUAAACCACACGAAUGCACGUUACCAACUGGGAUGUGUCUGUGAGGAAGGACAAUGGGAAGGCACUGAUUAGAAUAGAGGGGCAGGGAAGCCAUUUCGGGAACUUGGUAUUUGAGCUCAGACCUGUGCAAAGGAAAGUUAGCUGGUGAAGAAAAGCUCAGGGAGUGUGCUCCAAACAGCAGAGAUAGCGUGUACAAGCUGUGAACCAAGAGGUGGGCCCAUGGGGACCCAGAAGGACGCCAGUGUGGCCGCAGCCUGGUGAAUGGCGGGCCAAUGUCUGUACGAUCAGGAGCUGGCAUUCCUGUGGGCCCUCUUGUGGGGCUCAGUUUUGUUCUUAAAGUAGUGGAAAAGAUGUUGGAAAAAUCCUCGGGCUUGAAAUGACAUAAUUUGAUUAAUGUUUUCAAAAGAUCAACUAUGGUCGCUGUAAAGAAAAUAGAUUAACAAGGGCAGAGUGGACACGGGACACCGGUGGCAGGGGUUGAACUAGGGAGGCACCAGUGGAGAAGGGAAAUGUAGGGAAAGAGGGCUCUGGGCAGGACUGCGGGACAGGCAAGUGUUGGUAAUGGCUGCUUGUGCUGUGGCUUGGGAAACUGGGCAAACUGCAGAGAAAGAUGCUCUUACUUGCUCUUAACUUGUGGGCUUUUGUGAUCCCUGGAAUCCGUGCUUGUGAUGAGUAAUGUUUGUGAGUAACCAGAUGAUCAUUCUAUUCUCCCCUCUCCUCACCCACCCUACCCCCACCCUCACCACCACACAGGUCAUUUGGGAGAGAAACAAAAGCCACCAAUUCAGAUGUCAGGAAAGAGGUGACCAAUGUAAUCUCAAAGGAGUCAAAGCUGGACAGUCUGGAGGCUGCAGCCGAAAGCAAGAACUGCUCCAGCCCCCAGAGAGGUGGCUCCCCACCCUGGGCUGCAAAGAGCCAGCCUCAGCCCCCAAGGGAGUCCAAGCUGGAGUCAUACAAGGACUCGCCCAGAAUGGCCCCGCAGACCCCGGUCCUUCAGAAGACUUCCAGCUCCAUCACCCUGCAGGCCGCAAGAGUUCAGCCAGAACCAAGAGCACCAGGCCUGGGGGUCCUAUCACCUUCUGGAGAAGAGAGGAAGAGCCCAGCUGCUCCCCGUCCAGCCACCUUCCCCACCAGGCAGCCUGGCCUGGGGAGCCAAGACGUUGUGAGCAAGGCUGCUACCAGGAGAAUCCCCAUGGAGGGCCAGAGGGAUUCAGCAUUCCCCAAAUUUGAGAGCAAGCCCCAAAGCCAGGAGGUCAGGGAAAAUCAAACUGUCAAGUUCAGAUGUGAAGGGCUUGCCGUGAUGGAGGUGGCCCCCUCCUUCUCCAGUGUCCUGAAGGACUGCACCGUCAUUGAGGGCCAGGAUUUUGUGCUGCAGUGCUCCAUACAGGGGACCCCAGUGCCCCGGAUCACUUGGCUGCUGAAUGGGCAGCCCAUCCAGUACGCUCGUUCCACCUGUGAGGCCGGCGUGGCUGAGCUCCACAUCCAGGAUGCCCUGCCGGAGGACCAUGGCACCUACACCUGCCUGGCUAAGAAUGCCUUGGGGCAGGUGUCCUGCAGCGCCCGGGUCACCGUCCGUGAAAAGAAGAGUAGCGAGAAGAGCAAGUACCUUCUGCCUGUGGCUCCCAACAAGCCCACUGCACCCGUAUUCCUGCAGGGCCUCUCUGAUCUCAAAGUCAUGGAUGGAAGCCAGGUCACUAUGACUGUCCAAGUGUCAGGUCUGUCUCUGCAGCUCUCUCUUGGGGAUUAACAUGAAAAUGGUCUUGGUUGCAAUGGGUAUUGCUCUCUGAGGACCCACUCAGAUCAUUGAUCCACCAGAAAAUCAGAUGGGACCAUCAGGUGAUGGACCCAAAGAAAUGGAGACUCUUGUCCUCUCUUUUCUGCCUUCUCUGGGUAGGAUUUUCUGGAUUCAUGAUUAAAUGAUCCAGAGGAAGAAGAUGGCCAUAGAGCUAGAGCAGUGAGAGAUUAAUUUGAAAAUAUAGUGUGGCAAGUGUAGCUGGAAGGUUUUGAAGACUGGUACAAAACCAGAUUAUGGGCCGGGCACGGUGGCUCACGCCUGUAAUCCCAGCACUUUGGGAGGCCGAGGCAGCAGAUCACGAGGUCAGGAGAUCGAGACCAUCCUGGCUAACAUGGUGAAACCCCCGUCUCUACUAAAAAAUACAAAAAAAUUGCUGGGUGUGGUGGCGGGCGCCUGUAGCCCAGCUACUCGGGAGGCUGAGGCAGGAGAAUGGCGUGAACCUGGGAGGUGGAGCUUGCAGUGAGCCGAGAUCGUGCCACUGCACUCCAGCCCGGGCGACAGAGCAAAGACUAUCUC